rnacentral:rRNA from 1 species
CACAAGCGGUGGAUGAUGUGGAUUAAUUCGAUGCAACGCGAAGAACCUUACCUGGUCUUGACAUGUACGGAAUCCUCCAGAGACGGAGGAGUGCCUUCGGGAGCCGUAACACAGGUGCUGCAUGGCUGUCGUCAGCUCGUGUCGUGAGAUGUUGGGUUAAGUCCCGCAACGAGCGCAACCCUUGUCAUUAGUUGCCAUCAUUUAGUUGGGCACUCUAAUGAGACUGCCGGUGACAAGCCAGAGGAAGGUGGGGAUGACGUCAAGUCCUCAUGGCCCUUAUGACCAGGGCUUCACACGUCAUACAAUGGUCGGUACAGAGGGUAGCCAAGCCGCGAGGUGGAGCCAAUCUCACAAAACCGAUCGUAGUCCGGAUUGCACUCUGCAACUCGAGUGCAUGAAGUCGGAAUCGCUAGUAAUCGCAGGUCAGCAUACUGCGGUGAAUACGUUCCCGGGUCUUGUACACACCGCCCGUCACACCAUGGGAGUGGGGGAUACCAGAAGUAGGUAGGGUAACCGCAAGGANCCCGCUUACCACGGUAUGCUUCAUGNCUGGGGNGAAGUCGUANCAANGUNNCCA